GUUUAAGCCGCCGCGGUAAUACGAAGGUGGCAAGCGUUGUUCGGAUUUACUGGGCGUACAGGGAGCGUAGGCGGUUGGGUAAGCCCUUCGUGAAAUCUCCGGGCCUAACCCGGAAAGUGCGGAGGGGACUGCUCGGCUAGAGGAUGGGAGAGGAGCGCGGAAUUCCCGGUGUAGCGGUGAAAUGCGUAGAGAUCGGGAGGAAGGCCGGUGGCGAAGGCGGCGCUCUGGAACAUUUCUGACGCUGAGGCUCGAAAGCGUGGGGAGCAAACAGGAUUAGAUACCCCUGUAGUCC
rnacentral:rRNA from 1 species